rnacentral:rRNA from 1 species
UACGUAGGGUGCAGGCGUUAAUCGGAAUUACUGGGCGUAAAGCGUGCGCAGGCGGUUUGCUAAGACAGGUGUGAAAUCCCCGGGCUUAACCUGGGAACUGCGCUUGUAACUGGCAAGCUAGAGUGUGGCAGAGGGGGGUGGAAUUCCACGUGUGAGCAGUGAAAUGCGUAGAGAUGUGGGAGGAACACCAGUGGCGAAGGGCGGCUUUCUGGUCUGUAAACG